rnacentral:rRNA from 1 species
UACGUAGGGCGCAAGCGUUGUCCGGAAUUAUUGGGCGUAAAGAGCUCGUAGGCGGUUUGUCGCGUCUGCUGUGAAAACCUAAGGCUCAACCUUGGGCUUGCAGUGGGUACGGGCAGACUAGAGUGCGGUAGGGGUGACUGGAAUUCCUGGUGUAGCGGUGGAAUGCGCAGAUAUCAGGAGGAACACCGAUGGCGAAGGCAGGGCGCUGGGCCGCAACUGACGCUGAGGAGCGAAAGCAUGGGGAGCGAACAGG